UGCGGCUCCGUUGAAACAGUGAUGCUCAGGGUCGGACUGGCGCUCGCUUUCACACCACCUACGACAACACUUACGUCAUCAAAACCAUCACCAGCGAGGAUGUGGCUGAGAUGCACAACAUCCUCAAGAAGUACCACCAGUUCAUAGUGGAGUGUCAUGGCAACACGCUGCUGCCUCAGUUCCUGGGAUGUAUCGCCUCACGGUGGACGGAGACGAGACCUACAUGAUCGUCACCAGGAACAUCUUCUCCCACCGCCUCCCGUCUACAAAAAAUAUGAUCUGAAGGGCUCCACUGUGGCCAGGGAGGCCAGCGACAGGAGAAGGUACAGUCAUUCACAACACACCACACCAGCUCUGGACCUAUACAUGGUGUGUUUAAUGUAUUUAUAUAGACACUGAGUAUGGAUUCUGAUUCCUGGCCACUCCCUGUCCUAUACAACCAUGUGGAGGGAGGAGCUGUGUGUUCAGACCUGGUGAUUUAAACCAACACCGCUUCUGUCCAUUACCUACCUGACCUGCCAUUCUGUCUUUAACU